rnacentral:tRNA from 1 species
AGGGAUUUAGGUUAAACAAGACCAAGAGCCUUCAAAGCCCUCAGCAAGUAAAGUUACUUAAUCCCUG